UUUUCCCUUCCCUUGAUCAGUUCUUGAGACCUUUUAGAUUGAUGUUUGACUAGAAGAGUGUAGAAAUUUAGAUAUGGGAUUCCUAUUUAUUGUUGUUGCAUGCAGUAUGGACUUCAAGUGCUUCAAUGCAUACCUUUCGGUACUAGGUAGGUUCCUUCCGAUUGGUAAGUUCUGUUUGAUAGUAUUUUCUAUUUACUCUUGUUCCACCUUUAACAUUUUUUUUCUAGACUUUUGGGUGGUUACCUGUUAACUACUUAUUUGGCACAUGUGAAUGCUUUGGCUGAGGUAUGUUAUCUAAGAGCCUGUUUGUACUCAUAAUCAUAACCUACCAUGGCUAAUUGGCCUUUGGUUUAGAUUCCUCCAUAUUUGUUGUCACUUGUGACACAGAUCACGAAGCAGAGGCUUGCUUGAUAGAGUAGUCUUGACUGUUGUUUCUACUGAGGGCAUCCGAAAACUCAACUCUCGUGGUGGAUAUGAUAAGGCUCUUGCUAGAGUUGGUUCGAGUGUACAGGUGAAAUAUUGUUCAUCGAGCUUCAACCAUGUGAAUACUUCUAGCUUUCUGUUCUCAAUCGUGCAAGUCUCACGCUUGAGAAAGAGACAAAUGCACACACAAUUUUAAGCCAGCUAAUACUGUUUAGCAUAA